AUUGAACGCCGGCGGCAUGCCUUACACAUGCAAGUCGAACGGCAGCACGGGAGCAAUCCUGGUGGCGAGUGGCGAACGGGUGAGUAUUAUAUCGGAACGUGCCCAGUAGUGGGGGAUAACUGCUCGAAAGAGCAGCUAAUACCGCAUACGACCUGAGGGUGAAAGGGGGGGAUCGCAAGACCUCUCGCUAUUGGAGCGGCCGAUAUCAGAUUAGCUAGUUGGUGGGGUAAAGGCCUACCAAGGCAACGAUCUGUAGUUGGUCUGAGAGGACGACCAGCCACACUGGGACUGAGACACGGCCCAGACUCCUACGGGAGGCAGCAGUGGGGAAUUUUGGACAAUGGGCGCAAGCCUGAUCCAGCAAUGCCGCGUGCAGGAAGAAGGCCUUCGGGUUGUAAACUGCUUUUGUCAGGGAAGAAAUCCUCUAGGUUAAUACCCUUGGGGGGAUGACGGUACCUGAAGAAUAAGCACCGGCUAACUACGUGCCAGCAGCCGCGGUAACAC
rnacentral:rRNA from 1 species